UCUGUUCUCCUAAAUACCCUACAGACACUAGAUCCCAUCUGAUCUUGGAAGCUAAGCAGGAUCAGCCUUGAUUAGUAAUGGAAUGGAAGACCGUAAAGGAAUACAGGUGCUGAAGGCU
rnacentral:rRNA from 1 species